GAUGAAGAACGUAGCGAAAUGCGAAAAGUAAUGUGAAUUGCAGAAUUCAGUGAAUCAUCGAAUCUUUGAACGCACAUUGCGCCCGCCAGUAUUCUGGCGGGCAUGCCUGUUCGAGCGUCAUUUCAACCAUCAAGCCCCAGGCUUGUGUUGGAGCCCUGCGGCUGCCGCAGCCUCCCAAAACCAGUGGCGGGCUCGCUAUCACACCGAGUGCAGUAGUUUACUCUUCGCUCAGGGCGUGUGGCGGGUGCUAGCCGUAAAACCCCCAACUUCUCAAGGUUGACCUCGGAUCAGGUAGGAAUACCCGCUGAACUUAAGCAUAUCAAUAAGCGGAGGA
rnacentral:misc_RNA from 1 species